rnacentral:rRNA from 1 species
CCUACGGGAGGCAGCAGUGGGGAAUAUUGGGCAAUGGGCGCAAGCCUGACCCAGCAACGCCGCGUGCAGGAAGAAGGCUUUCGGGUUGUAAACUUCUUUUGUCAGGGAAGAGUAGAAGACGGUACCUGACGAAUAAGCCAUGGCUAACUACGUGCCAGCAGCCGCGGUAAUACGUAGGUGGCAAGCGUUGCCCGGAUUUACUGGGUGUAAAGGGCGUGUAGCCGGGUUGACAAGUCAGAUGUGAAAUCCUGCGGCUUAACCGCAGAACUGCAUUUGAAACUGUUGAUCUUGAGUACUGGAGAGGCAGAUGGAAUUCCUAGUGUAGCGGUGAAAUGCGUAGAUAUUAGGAGGAACACCAGUGGCGAAGGCGGUCUGCUGGACAGCAACUGACGGUGAGGCGCGAAAGCGUGGGGAGCAAACAGGAUUAGAUACCCCAGUAGUC